AGGAAGAGGAGCUGCUACCCUGCCGCGGGAUUUUCAGGGUCUGACAGUCCUGCAUUAGUGGGGACACAAUGCAUUUACAGAGCUGGCAAGAUAUGAUAGAGGCAGAGCAGGGUAGCAGAGCCAAGAAAAGUGAAGGGUGAAGGAACAAACUCAGCAUUUGCUUAUCUCUCCACUUCAGGAGAGAAGAGCAACUAAAAGGAGCAAUAGAAGAAUGGCAAAAUCUGGCAGACUAAUUAAAAGGGGAAACACAAACAAGAAAGAGUACAUUAUACUAUCACCGUUGAAGAGUUGAUUAAACAAGACCGCUCUUUACGAUUCCUGGCUAAUAAACUGGAAAAUAUUGGUAGCAUUAACACUUUUUCUGAGAAAAUACAAAGG